rnacentral:rRNA from 1 species
GUGGGGAAUAUUGGGCAAUGGGCGAAAGCCUGACCCAGCAACGCCGCGUGAAGGAAGAAGGCCUUCGGGUUGUAAACUUCUUUUAAGAGGGACGAAGAGUGACGGUACCUCUUGAAUAAGCCACGGCUAACUACGUGCCAGCAGCCGCGGUAAUACGUAGGUGGCGAGCGUUAUCCGGAUUUACUGGGUGUAAAGGGCGCGUAGGCGGGAAUGCAAGUCAGAUGUGAAAUCUAGGGGCUUAACCCCUAAACUGCAUUUGAAACUGUAUUUCUUGAGUGUCGGAGAGGUUGACGGAAUUCCUAGUGUAGCGGUGAAAUGCGUAGAUAUUAGGAGG